rnacentral:misc_RNA from 1 species
CUUAUCAACACUCACGCCCCA